rnacentral:rRNA from 1 species
ACGAACGCUGGCGGCGUGCUUCACACCUGCAAGUCGAACGGAAAGGCCCUGCUUGCAGGGUACUCGAGUGGCGAACGGGUGAGUAACACGUGGGUGAUCUGCCCUGCACUUCGGGAUAAGCCUGGGAAACUGGGUCUAAUACCGGAUAGGAGCCAUUUUUAGUGUGAUGGUUGGAAAGUUUUUUCGGUGUAGGAUGAGCUCGCGGCCUAUCAGCUUGUUGGUGGGGUAAUGGCCUACCAAGGCGGCGACGGGUAGCCGGCCUGAGAGGGUGGACGGCCACAUUGGGACUGAGAUGCGGCCCAGACUCCUACGGGAGGCAGCAGUGGGGAAUAUUGCACAAUGGGCGCAAGCCUGAUGCAGCGACGCCGCGUGGGGGAUGACGGCCUUCGGGUUGUAAACUCCUUUCGCUAGGGACGAAGCUUUUUGUGACGGUACCUAGAUAAGAAGCACCGGCUAACUACGUG